rnacentral:ncRNA from 1 species
GGGUCGGGCGGGCGCCGGUGGGACGGCGCUCCGCGGAUGGGCCCCGACGGUCCCUCUUUCUGGUGCGGACGCCGCGGCCCGGCGAGCGUC